rnacentral:tRNA from 2 species
GCUGGUGUGGCUCAGCGGUAGAGCAGCGCACUCGUAAUGCGCAGGUCGUCGGUUCGAAUCCGACCACCAGCUCCA